UUAAACAAACCCUAAAUGGUUGUUAAUUAGGUUCUUGCCGUCUUUUCUUCCCCUUCCCCAUCAGAAAAUGUAUACACACCCGAAACGCUGUUAAUCUCCGGUCGCCGCAAUUUAUGAAAAAUAAACAAAGUUUAAGAAGUGAGAAAUCGGUGCUAUGGAAAAUUGCUAUUUAGUUUCUAGAAUCUUCGAUAAAGGUGCACACAUGGCGGACAAACAGUUCAUCGUGGCUCAUUUAUGCGGCGACGCAAUAAUGGAACUUUCCGGCGAAGAGUCGGUUCGAAUUGAGCCGGCUUAAAAUAACACGGUCCUUCACUGGAGCUGAUUCAAUACAACAGAACCCAUCUGCUGGCGAUGUAGAUCUGUCAUUGGUGGUCUUUAAUGUGCACGAUUCCUACAGUGCUUGCAUGUUACAAAGAAGUGGCUGGACAAGAAACAUAGAUGUGUUUUUCCAGUGGCUAUCAGCUCUACCUUUCUCAGGUGGUGGUUUCAAUGAUGUUGCAGCUGCAGAAGGCCUUGCUUCAGCAUUAAUGAUGUUUUCUUCAUUCAAUGGAAGCCAACAAGCUCAACAAAAUGCUGAUGGGCAAAGACAUUGCAUACUUGUUGCCGCAAGUAACCCUUAUCCAUUGCCUACACCAGUUUAUUAUCCAGCUAUGCUGAAUCUGGAGCAGAGUGGAAAUAUUGAAGCACAUACCAGUCUUCGACUAGCUGAUGCUGAGAUAGUUGCAAAGGCAUUUCCUCAGUGCUCUGUUUCCCUCUCUGUUAUAUGCCCAAGGAAGCUUCCGAAAUUAAGAGCAAUAUAUAAUGCGGGAAAACACGAUCCGCAAGCAGCUGACCCGCCUGUUGAUGCGUCUAAGAAUCCGAAUUUUCUUGUAUUAAUUUCGGAAAAUUUCAGCAGGGAUUGUGCUGCUUUCAGUCACACUGAAAUGGAAAGUUUGGCGCCAAACCAGAGCCUGGUUGAAAUGGAUAUGACUUCUGUGCCUCCAAUUUCCGGGCCAGCUAAUUCAUCAGUUAUGAAUCAACAACCCAUUUCAGCUGGAAAUAUUCCUGCUGCACCGGUAAAUAUCGAGCCCGCUAUGGCGACCUCUGUUGGUAGACCUGCACCUCCACAUAUUCCUACUGCUCAUCCUACUUCUCAAGUUGCUGCAAGCUUGCAAAGUGGUUUACCUAUUUCUAUUUCAGAGGAGAUGGUUCCGAAUAAUGAGAAUACUAAGGAAACAACACCUAUUGUCAGUGUGAUGACACAGUCCUUAAGUCUUCCAUUUAGUGGUGCAGCUGCUAAUGUCGGAAUAUUGAAUGAAGUGGCUUCUGCUAUAUCUACUGAUCCAACUGUAUUAACAUCGGGGCAACUAGGUUUCACAUCAAUGACUGGGUUUGCUCCAAUUGCCAGAACUGAUCAGAUAUCUCAAAACUUCGGUCCUGCAUCAUUAACUUUGAUGGCUCCCAGUAUAUUUGGGAAUUCUAACCAUUGCAUGUCCCAACCAUUGAGCAAUAUCCUAGGAGGCACUGGUGCAGGCAGUCAAACAGUACCUGUAAUGAGUCGAGUAAAUCUUCCUGGGUCUCAAAUGAUGCAAAGCGGGAUAGGCAUGCACCAGAAUGUGCCGAGUGGAACAGGUAUUGGUAUGCCUUCGGGACAACUGUUGAGUAAAAUCCCAGGAGCCAUUGGUGCAGGCAGUCCAACAGCACAUGUAAUGAGUCAAGGAAAUCUUCCUGGGUCUCAAAUGAUGCAAAGCAGGGUAGGCAUGCACCAAAAUGUGCCGAGUGGAAUGGAUACUAGUAUGCCUUUGGGACAACUAUUGAGUAAUAUCCAAGGAGUCAUUGGAGAAGGCAAUCUCACAGUACCUGUAAUGAGUCGAGGAAAUCUUCCUGGGCGUCAAAUGAUGCAAAGCGGGAUAGGCAUGCACCGGAAUGUGCCAACUGGAAUGCAUACUGGUAUGCCUUCGGGACAACUGUUGAGUAAUAUCCAAGGAGGCAUUGAUGCAGGCAGUCUAGCAGCACCUGUAAUGAGUCAAGGAAAUUUUCCUGGGUCUCAAAUGAUGCCAAGAGGGAUAGGCAUGCACCAGAAUGUGCCAAGUGGAAUGGGUAGUAGUAUGCCUUUGGAAAUUGGCAGAAUGAUGCCUACUCCAGGGAUGACUCAACAAGGAGAGCCUGGAAUAUUGGCUCUUGGCAGGAAUAACAGUGCAGAAGCUAACAUGUCUCUAUCUCAGCAGCAAACAAUGGCUACAUCACCAUCAGCUCAGUCAGGUUACGUCAAAAUCUGGGAGACACAACUGUGCAAAUAUCACAUCCAAGUUUCAUCCAUCAAUAGCUGGGAGAAAUGUUCUUGUAAAGGAAAUUUAUCAAUUGUGAAAAGGCAUGAACCUGAACAUAUUUCGAGACUACAGGGGUACAAAAGAUCAUCAGCUUCUGAAUCGAGAGUGUAUCAUUAUGUUUCAAGGUUAAGAUGGUACGGAGAUGGCAACAUUUAUCACGUAAAACUGAAGAACUGAUGUUGAGGGCUCAAAAAUAAGAUAGAUUUCAUUUCUCGUGAAUUUAACCUCUCAAGUUCUUGCAACAGCAGCGAACUGAAGAUUGGUGAAGAGACGAAAGACCUCUUGUUAAGUUUCAAAACUUGUUACUUUGGGAGAGAUGGGUGAUUUUAGUCUGAUGAUCCUUCUCAAUAUUCUUUUACUAGAGGUCAUUUAAUUUCCUCUCUUAGUAAUGAAAAGGAGAAAGUGUAAGGCCUCAUUUGUUUGCAGUUACUCUAAUUUAGAUCUCAGAUCUUAGUCAUCGAGUCUUGUUUUUAGGUCUAAAUCUAUUCAGAUCUUAAUCUUUAACAGCGUUUGUUCUUUAAUUUUACAAUCAUUUAAUUGAUCUAAAUGAUUAUGAUCUAUAACAGUCUUUUUAUUUUUUUAUUUUUUUUUGAAACUGGUACGCGCCAAAAAAGGAAUAGAUAGGUGGUUCAGUAUAGUUUUAAGUAAAAAAAAUUUCACAAAAAAUUACACUUGUUGAAAGUACGUACACAAGUCCUAUAAAGUCCACCAAGUGGGCUUCCUAUUCUAUACAUUGCACUUUACACCAAAAUUCAAAAACAUAAAGUGAUGAUAACUUUCCGCUUGAUCUUCUGUAUUGUACGUUCCUUGUCUUCAAAAUUUCUUUCAUUUCUUUCCUUUCAAAUGUUCCACCAAAUGCAGACAGGUACUGUUUUCCACCAUAUCUUUUUAUCUUGAUUUCUCCUCUUCUAAUCCAACAACUUAAAAGAUCUGCAGUAUGCUCAGGCAUAGAGCAGUUCAGCUUACUCAACAAUUGAGCCUAACUGCCUCUCUGCAUCACAGGAACAUUUUAAUUUAUAUUUCUAGCUCGGUGCUUGUUUGCAGCCAUGCAAGCAUCAAUUAUCGUUAGAAGUAUUUUAAAAGCUAAUGACCACAACUUUAUCCUCUGAUAAAAAUAUGAGUCCAAAUAAAUGAGAUAAGCAGAAAAUAUCUUUGAAAGAAAUGCAAUAGUCGAACUGAAAUCAAUGUCAAUAUGUUCACAGUCCUCUCUAUUCAAAGAAGAGGAUGCCUGUGGCACCACCACCAAUUGUCCCCAGGAAUUCCGGCAUCCAAAGUAAACAUGCUAACAUAACUAAAAUAUAUUCUCAACUAAUUGGUAUCGCCUAUGUAAUUACUUUUUUCUACGUCAAGUAUGCAUGGACUCCAUGAUGUCAACUAUAUGAAGCUUAAUUUCUUGGCUUAUCUAUAAAUUUGCCUUUUUUUUUUUCCCUCUUUGUUUAUCUUCUUUGUGCAACCAUAAAAUUUUCAGUGUUGGACUACUUUAAUACUUUGAACUGAUUUUUUUAUUUUGCUCAGGCUUGCUGCAAAUUUGCCCCAAACAUUGCAAAUUCUCCACAUUGCCCGCAAAGAUCAUAUGAUUGAACAAGUUAGGCAGCACACUGGAAAGGCAGAU